UGGGGAAUAUUGGACAAUGGGCGAAAGCCUGAUCCAGCCAUGCCGCGUGGGUGAAGAAGGCCUUAGGGUUGUAAACCCCUUUCAGCGGGGAAGAUAAUGACGGUACCCGCAGAAGAAGUCCCGGCUAACUCCGUGCCAGCAGCCGCGGUAAUACGGAGGGGACUAGCGUUGUUCGGAAUUACUGGGCGUAAAGCGCACGUAGGCGGAUUUGUAAGUCAGGGGUGAAAUCCCGGGGCUCAACCCCGGAACUGCCUUUGAUACUGCGAAUCUCGAGUCCGGAAGAGGUGAGUGGAAUUCCUAGUGUAGAGGUGAAAUUCGUAGAUAUUAGGAAGAACACCAGUGGCGAAGGCGGCUCACUGGUCCGGUACUGACGCUGAGGUGCGAAAGCGUGGGGAGCAAACA
rnacentral:rRNA from 1 species